rnacentral:rRNA from 1 species
CCCCACGAUGAGUGCUAGUGUUAGAGGGUUUCCGCCCUUUAGUUUUUGUUGUGGCUCAGGAUGAACGCUGGCGGCGUGCCUAAUACAUGCAAGUCGAGCGAACUGAUUAGAAGCUUGCUUCUAUGACGUUAGCGGCGGACGGGUGAGUAACACGUGGGCAACCUGCCUGUAAGACUGGGAUAACUUCGGGAAACCGAAGCUAAUACCGGAUAGGAUCUUCUCCUUCAUGGGAGAUGAUUGAAAGAUGGUUUCGGCUAUCACUUACAGAUGGGCCCGCGGUGCAUUAGCUAGUUGGUGAGGUAACGGCUCACCAAGGCAACGAUGCAUAGCCGACCUGAGAGGGUGAUCGGCCACACUGGGACUGAGACACGGCCCAGACUCCUACGGGAGGCAGCAGUAGGGAAUCUUCCGCAAUGGACGAAAGUCUGACGGAGCAACGCCGCGUGAGUGAUGAAGGCUUUCGGGUCGUAAAACUCUGUUGUUAGGGAAGAACAAGUACGAGAGUAACUGCUCGUACCUUGACGGUACCUAACCAGAAAGCCACGGCUAACUACGUGCCAGCAGCCGCGGUAAUACGUAGGUGGCAAGCGUUAUCCGGAAUUAUUGGGCGUAAAGCGCGCGCAGGCGGUUUCUUAAGUCUGAUGUGAAAGCCCACGGCUCAACCGUGGAGGGUCAUUGGAAACUGGGGAACUUGAGUGCAGAAGAGAAAAGCGGAAUUCCACGUGUAGCGGUGAAAUGCGUAGAGAUGUGGAGGAACACCAGUGGCGAAGGCGGCUUUUUGGUCUGUAACUGACGCUGAGGCGCGAAAGCGUGGGGAGCAAACAGGAUUAGAUACCCUGGUAGUCCACGCCGUAAACGAUGAGUGCUAAGUGUUAGAGGGUUUCCGCCCUUUAGUGCUGCAGCUAACGCAUAAGCAUUCCGCCUGGGAGACGCAGGAAAAAACAUAAAAAA